rnacentral:rRNA from 1 species
UACGUAGGUGUCGAGCGUUGUCCGGAUUUAUUGGGCGUAAAGAGCUCGUAGGUGGCCUGUCGCGUCGGCUGUGAAAACUCGGGGCUCAACUCCGAGCUUGCAGUCGAUACGGGCAGGCUAGAGUUCGGCAGGGGAGACUGGAAUUCCUGGUGUAGCGGUGAAAUGCGCAGAUAUCAGGAGGAACACCGGUGGCGAAGGCGGGUCUCUGGGCCGAUACUGACACUGAGGAGCGAAAGCGUGGGGAGCGAACAGG